rnacentral:rRNA from 1 species
GGUUAAGCGACUAAGCGUACACGGUGGAUGCCCUGGCAGUCAGAGGCGAUGAAGGACGUGCUAAUCUGCGAUAAGCGUCGGUAAGGUGAUAUGAACCGUUAUAACCGGCGAUUUCCGAAUGGGGAAACCCAGUGUGUUUCGACACACUAUCAUUAACUGAAUCCAUAGGUUAAUGAGGCGAACCGGGGGAACUGAAACAUCUAAGUACCCCGAGGAAAAGAAAUCAACCGAGAUUCCCCCAGUAGCGGCGAGCGAACGGGGAGCAGCCCAGAGCCUGAAUCAGUGUGUGUGUUAGUGGAAGCGUCUGGAAAGGCGCGCGAUACAGGGUGACAGCCCCGUACACAAAAAUGCACAUACUGUGAGCUCGAUGAGUAGGGCGGGACACGUGGUAUCCUGUCUGAAUAUGGGGGGACCAUCCUCCAAGGCUAAAUACUCCUGACUGACCGAUAGUGAACCAGUACCGUGAGGGAAAGGCGAAAAGAACCCCGGCGAGGGGAGUGAAAAAGAACCUGAAACCGUGUACGUACAAGCAGUGGGAGCACGCUUAGGCGUGUGACUGCGUACCUUUUGUAUAAUGGGUCAGCGACUUAUAUUCUGUAGCAAGGUUAACCGAAUAGGGGAGCCGAAGGGAAACCGAGUCUUAACUGGGCGUUAAGUUGCAGGGUAUAGACCCGAAACCCGGUGAUCUAGCCAUGGGCAGGUUGAAGGUUGGGUAACACUAACUGGAGGACCGAACCGACUAAUGUUGAAAAAUUAGCGGAUGACUUGUGGCUGGGGGUGAAAGGCCAAUCAAACCGGGAGAUAGCUGGUUCUCCCCGAAAGCUAUUUAGGUAGCGCCUCGUGAAUUCAUCUCCGGGGGUAGAGCACUGUUUCGGCAAGGGGGUCAUCCCGA